rnacentral:misc_RNA from 1 species
GUUAGAAUACACAAUAUAUUUACCCUUUCAGUUAGUUGGGUGAACUAAUUGAGUCUAAGCUGGUUUGGGUGGGUAAUGAUGUAUGCUCCAGUAUUCAUUCUAUUAGUAGCACCUUAAUCCAUGACAUGUAUGUUCUCUUGAAAGAUACACAUACUUAAGAGUAACUACAGAGGGAACCAAUCAUUGCUUUGAAAGACACCUGUUUUUUUCUUCAAGUAGUUUAUAAAACUGAAUGAGCUGGUAAAUUUUCUAAACCAGAUGGAAGUGGGUUUUCAAAG